UGGUAACACUUCCAUGCACCACUUCUACAGUUUCUUACCAGAGAGGUUUCUCUGAACUUGUGGAGCAGCGGAAACUACGAGGAGGCGGCUCAGCAUUCACUCCUGAGCAUUCGGCAGUUGCCUUUUGCCACUGACGAUCACUCUUCUCUUCCUUUGGGAGAGUGAAAGGGAAAGGAUGCCAUCUGAAUGAU
rnacentral:snoRNA from 1 species